UACGGAGGGGGCGAGCGUUAUUCGGAAUUAUUGGGCGUAAAGGGCGCGUAGGCGGCUUGAUAAGUCAGAGGUGAAAUCCCUCGGCUCAACUGAGGAACUGCCUUUGAAACUGUCAGACUUGAGGCCGGGAGGGGGUAGCGGAAUUCCCAGUGUAGCGGUGAAAUGCGUAGAUACUGGGAGGAACACCGGUGGCGAAGGCGGCUACCUGGACCGGUUCUGACGCUGAUGCGCGAAAGCGUGGGUAGCAAACAGG
rnacentral:rRNA from 1 species